GUGCCAGCAGCCGCGGUAAUACAGGGGGUGCUAGCGUUGUUCGGAAUUACUGGGCGUAAAGGGCGCGUAGGCUGUUUAACAAGUCUGUUGUGAAAUCCCGGGGCUUAACUCCGGACGUGCAAUGGAAACUGUUAGACUAGAGUGCAGUAGAGGUUGGUGGAAUUCCCAGUGUAGAGGUGAAAUUUGUAGAUAUUGGGAGGAACACCGGUGGCGAAGGCGGCCAACUGGGCUGCAACUGACGCUGAGGCGCGAAAGCGUGGGGAUCAAACAGGAUUAGAUACCCUGGUAGUCC
rnacentral:rRNA from 1 species